GCUAUGGGAGUUUGUUUUUUGAAUGUGAUUUUUGUAAAAUCGAGGUUUGGUUGUAGCU
rnacentral:tRNA from 1 species